rnacentral:rRNA from 1 species
UACGUAGGGGCCAAGCGUUGUCCGGAUUUAUUGGGCGUAAAGAGCUCGUAGGCGGUUCGGUAAGUCAGCUGUGAAAUCUCCACGCUCAACGUGGAGGGGUCAGCUGAUACUGCCGUGACUUGAGUCUGGUAGGGGAGUGCGGAAUUCCCGGUGUAGCGGUGAAAUGCGCAGAUAUCGGGAAGAACACCUAUGGCGAAGGCAGCUCUCUGGGACGGUACUGACGCUGAGGCGCGAAAGCUAGGGGAGCAAACGGG